AUUGAACGCUGGCGGCAGGCCUAACACAUGCAAGUCGAACGAGUGGCGGACGGGUGAGUAAUGUCUGGGAAACUGCCUGAUGGAGGGGGAUAACUACUGGAAACGGUAGCUAAUACCGCAUACCAUCAGAUGUGCCCACAUGGGAUUAGCUAGUAGGUGGGGUAAUGGCUCACCAAGGCGACGCUCCCUAGCUGGUCUGAGAGGAUGACCGGCCACACUGGAACUGAGACACGGUCCAGACUCCUACGGGAGGCAGCAGUGGGGAAUAUUGGACAAUGGGCGCAAGCCUGAUGGAGCCAUGCCGCGUGUGUGAAGAAGGCCUUCGGGUUGUAAAGCACUUUCAUCAAGGAGGCGUUACUCGAAGAAAAAGCACCGGCUAACUCCGUGCCAGCCGCCGCGGUAAUAC
rnacentral:rRNA from 1 species